rnacentral:rRNA from 1 species
CGCGGCCUAUCAGCUUGUUGGUGAGGUAACGGCUCACCAAGGCAAUGACGGGUAGCUGGUCUGAGAGGACGAUCAGCCACACUGGAACUGAGAUACGGUCCAGACUCCUACGGGAGGCAGCAGGAGGGAAUCUUGCGCAAUGGGCGAAAGCCUGACGCAGCGACGCCGCGUGGGGGAUGAAUGCCUUAGGGUUGUAAACCCCUUUCACGAGGGAAGAAACUGACGGUACCUUGAGAAGAAGCCCCGGCCAACUACGUGCCAGCAGCCGCGGUAAUACGUAGGGGGCGAGCGUUGUCCGGAUUUAUUGGGCGUAAAGGGCUCGUAGGCGGCUUGACAAGUCGGUCGUGAAAGCCCAGGGCUCAACCCUGGGACGCCGGUCGAUACUGUCAUGGCUAGGGUCCGGUAGAGGGGAAUGGAAUUCCCGGUGUAGCGGUGAAAUGCGCAGAUAUCGGGAGGAACACCAGUAGCGAAGGCGGUUCCCUGGGCCGGUACCGACGCUGAGGAGCGAAAGCGUGGGUAGCAAACAGGAUUAGAUACCCUGGUAGUCCACGCCGUAAACGUUGGGUACUAGGCGUGGCGUCUUAUCAACGGAUGCCGUGCUCGAAGCUAACGCGUUAAGUACCCCGCCUGGGGAGUACGG